rnacentral:rRNA from 1 species
AGAGUUUGAUCCUGGCUCAGAACGAACGCGGGCGGCGUGCUUAACACAUGCAAGUCGAACGGGGUUUAUUUUGUAGCAAUACAGAAUAGACUUAGUGGCGGACGGGUGAGUAACACGUAGGUAACCAACCCUAAAGCGGGGGACAACCCAGGGAAACUUGGGCUAAUACCGCAUAAGACCACGGACUGGGAGGUUUGUGGUAAAAGGAGCAAUCCACUUUAGGCUGGGCCUGCGGCCUAUCAGGUAGUUGGUAAGGUAAUGGCUUACCAAGCCUAAGACGGGUAGCCGGACUGAGAGGUUGAACGGCCACACUGGAACUGAGAUACGGUCCAGACUCCUACGGGAGGCAGCAGUGGGGAAUUUUGCGCAAUGGGCGAAAGCCUGACGCAGCGACGCCGCGUGGAGGAUGAAGGUUUUCGGAUUGUAAACUCCUUUUGUAGGGGAAGAUAAUGACGGUACCCUAUGAAUAAGCCACGGCUAACUCUGUGCCAGCAGCCGCGGUAAGACAGAGGUGGCAAGCGUUGUUCGGAAUUACUGGGCUUAAAGGGCGCGUAGGUGGUGGCAUAAGUCCGAGGUGGAAGGCUAAGGCUUAACCUUAGAAUUGCCUUGGAAACUGUAUCACUUGAGUCAGCGAGGGGAUGGCGGAAUUCCAGGUGUAGCGGUGAAAUGCGUAGAGAUGUGGAGGAA